rnacentral:rRNA from 1 species
GGGGGAUAUUGCACAAUGGAGGAAACUCUGAUGCAGCAACGCCGCGUGAGGGAAGACGGUUUUCGGAUUGUAAACCUCUGUCCUUGGUGACGAAACAAAUGACGGUAGCCAAGGAGGAAGCUCCGGCUAACUACGUGCCAGCAGCCGCGGUAAUACGUAGGGAGCAAGCGUUGUCCGGAUUUACUGGGUGUAAAGGGUGCGUAGGCGGCUCUGCAAGUCAGGCGUGAAAUCCCACGGCUCAACCGUGGAACUGCCUUUGAUACUGCUUAGCUUGAAUCCGGGAGAGGGUGGCGGAAUUCCAGGUGUAGGAGUGAAAUCCGUAGAUAUCUGGAGGAACAUCAGUGGCGAAGGCGGCCACCUGGACCGGUAUUGACGCUGAGGUGCGAAAGCGUGGGGAGCAAACA